UAGAAUAAUAUGUGUUCAAAAAGGGGGCUCUUAUUUGAAAAACAAAACUCUAUACUCAUUUAAGGUAUACGGAGUAAGGGUGAACAAUUAAAAAAAAACAUUUUUAAACAAAGCUUCAACGAUUCCACAAUGAUUAUAUAAAUUGAGAAAUAAAUGUAUAAAAAGAAAAAAAUCCACUUAGUGUAGCGAUUGGUUUCACUAAGACGCGUGUGUGCUCCUCCCUGCCCGGAAAAUAUUUUUUCGAAAAAAACAAAAA